AUAAAGAUCAAGCCGGGUUAGAGGGGGAAAGAUAUAUCUGGGACAAAGGACUACUAUAUCGGCACGCAGAGAAGGUAGUGUCCGGGUCAAUACCGUUGCCCAUUAAACAGCUAAUAGUGCCUCGAAAGUAUAGGUUAGAGCUGUUACGCAUAGCCCAUGAUAUCCCUCUGUCUGGACACCUAGGCAUCAGUCGGACCAAGCACAGGCUGACC